rnacentral:rRNA from 1 species
AGGACGAACGCUGGCGGCGUGCUUAACACAUGCAAGCCGAGCGGAAAGGCCUUUCGGGGUACUCGAGCGGCGAACGGGUGAGUAACACGUGAGUAAUCUGCCCAUCGCUUCAGGAUAGCCAUCGGAAACGGUGAUUAAUACUGGAUAUGACAUUCCUUCGCAUGUUGGGGUGUGGUAAAGUUUUUUCGGCGGUGGAUGUGCUCGCGGCCUAUCAGUCUUGGUUGGUGGGGUAAUGGCCUACCAAGGCUUUGACGGGUAGCCGGCCUGA